UACGUAGGGGUCGAGCGUUGUCCGGAGUUACUGGGCGUAAAGGGUGCGUAGGUGGUUUCUUAAGUCAGAGGUGAAAGGCUACGGCUCAACCGUAGUAAGCCUUUGAAACUGGGAAACUUGAGUGCAGGAGAGGAGAGUGGAAUUCCUAGUGUAGCGGUGAAAUGCGUAGAUAUUAGGAGGAACACCAAUGGCGAAGGCAGGUCUCUGGGCAGUUACUGACGCUGAGGAGCGAAAGCAUGGGUAGCGAACAGGAUUAGAUACCCCUGUAGUCCCUGA
rnacentral:rRNA from 1 species